AAAGAGCUACUGCACUGCUGUUAUGUCUUUAUUAAUUCCAAAGAAAUCCAUUUUAAAUUUUUCGGUAUAUCACAGUUUUAAGUUCAAUCAGAACAAAGAAUGCCCCAUCCUCCACCUUUCAGCUCCACCUUAGAGGGGAAAAUUAUUAAAAAGCUCCACAGCUUGAAGCUCUAAAAGUUGAAACCAUGGCAAUGUGGGAUGCAUCCUAACAUUAAAGACUUUCCUCGCUCUAAAAUAGUGCAUAAUGCCAUAAUCGCCUAUCAUUUGUUAUGAGCUUUAAGCGGUCGAGAUAUGACCACGUCCUUCAGUAAAGAGAAGGAUCAGUUGUUGCCUUAGUACACGCCAAAUAUCUCUUCUGGAGGAUCAUAAACAUGUUUUUCAGGGAAAAGCUCCUCAUAAUCUUGCUUCACUCUGCUCCUAAGAAGUGGGUGUGGUAAAAGCCCCUUCAACAAAAUCCUAAAGGGUAAUUCCUCUGGUGGAUCUGGGGACUUCUUCAUGUCCUCGUAUAUAUUCAUUGCAUCAGCAGGAGAGCCAUCCCUCAAGAAGCCCCUAAUGACUUCUGUGUACAUUUGAGAAUCUGGGAACAAAUUCUCAUUUCUCAUAGUUUUCCACAGCUUCAUUGCUUCAUCCAUUUUUCCACUUCUUGUUAAUGCAAUGACCAAGUCCUUGUAGAGAUAGACAUCGGGCGUAUACCAGUCUUGCUUUUGAAUGACUUGAAACAUCUUGAGAGCUAAGGAGACCUCCUCUUGGCGCUCAAGCUCAGUGAGGACAG
rnacentral:misc_RNA from 1 species